UAGGGAAUCUUCCGCAAUGGGCGAAAGCCUGACGGAGCAACGCCGCGUGAGUGAUGAAGGUCUUCGGAUCGUAAAACUCUGUUAUUAGGGAAGAACAAAUGUGUAAGUAACUAUGCACGUCUUGACGGUACCUAAUCAGAAAGCCACGGCUAACUACGUGCCAGCAGUCGCGGUAAUACGUAGGUGGCAAGCGUUAUCCGGAAUUAUUGGGCGUAAAGCGCGCGUAGGCGGUUUUUUAAGCCUGAUGUGAAAGCCCACGGCUCAACCGUGGAGGGUCAUUGGAAACUGGAAGACUUGAGUGCAGGAGAGGAAAGUGGAAGUCCAUGUGGAACGGUGAAAUGCGCAGAGAUAUGGAGGAACACCAGUGGCGAAGGCGACUUUCUGGUCUGUAACUGACGCUGAUGUGCGAAAGCGUGGGGAUCAAACAGG
rnacentral:rRNA from 1 species